rnacentral:rRNA from 1 species
GACAGAGGUGCCGAGCGUUAGGCGGAAUCACUGGGCUUAAAGCGUGUGUAGGCGGAGGCCUAAGUACCUUGUGAAAUCCCACGGCUCAACCGUGGAACUGCUUGGUAUACUGGGUCUCUUGAGCCACCUAGGGGCAAGUGGAACAAACGGUGGAGCGGUGAAAUGCGUAGAUAUCGGAAGGAACAUCAGUGGCGAAAGCGGCUUCCUGGUCCAGCACCGACGUUCAGGCACGAAAGCGUGGGGAGCAAACAGG